AAAAAAGCCCACCCCGCCUCCUGACCUCCAGCAUCUCCCAGAUCCCGAUCCCACCCACAACUCCCAUUGCCGCCGGUGUCCCGCUUCCAGGCGUCGUCGCCAGCCUCCUUCUUCUACGCGUCGCCGCGGGCCUCCCGCUUCCACGCGUCGUCACCGGCCUCCUCCUUCCACGCGUUGUUGCUAGACUCCUCCUUCCACGCGCCACCGCCAGCCUCCCCCUUCCACGCGCCGCCGCCGGCCUCCCCCUUCCACGCGCCGCCGUCGCCUCCCUCUUCCACCCGCCAUCGCAGGCUCCUCGGCUUCCACCCGCCCUCGUGGCAUACUUGCUUCCACCAGCCGCCAUCGGAGCCACCCCGGCACCUCCAUCGCCGCCACGCGCGACGCGCCUCCUCCCAAGGAUGCGGUCGCCCCCCCCACCCCUCCUGCCGGCGACACGCCCACUCCUCCCGACGAUGUGUCCCGCCGCCUCAACGUGCAGGCCAUUCACCUCCGCCACCCUAGACCGUUCACCUCUGCCACCACUGCCUGUUCAACGUGGCCUCGACAACCCGGCGCAUGAACACCCUCUGUCAACUCCAAUGCGACUUUGUUUGUCUCAACUUCAAAACAUGUUCAGUUCAGAACUUGACAUGGAGGGUGUACUGAUGAUACCUAGCCGAAUGAAGCUCUGAGCUAUAUCCUGAGGAAACAAGAGGGAGUGUCAACACUGAUACAGGGAGAUGCACACCAAACCCGCCGCCCGAGGCCGUGUACCAUCGCAGCGCCCCUUCCCCAGCCAUCGUGAGGUCAACCUCCUGGGAUACACAAAGUUUCAGUUCGUCGAGAGGCUUCUUGGAGUUGCAGAUUGUAUAUUAUGGCAAAGACUCUAUUUCAAUGGGAGGUUCAACCAGAGGAGUUCAAAACACAAGAACUCUAGGAGUUCGCAAAACAAAAUCUACUAUGAGAGUUUGCACUUGUGUGUGCAGUGCAUGUGUUAGGUGUAUGUUUUUUCGGUAUGAUCUGGACACUGAAGAAAGAAAACACAAGGACUCGGUCCAUGUAUAAUUUUCUACUGUUUUUGCACUAAAAUCUUUGGUCUGAAAUGUAUGAGUUUUGUACAAUUUUUGGUUUUGUAUGUUGUAGCUGUAACAUGUGACUUAUAGCACCACUGUUUAUCGGAAGAAAAAUCCAAUUACAGCCUCUGCAGUUA